rnacentral:rRNA from 1 species
AACUUUCAACAACGGAUCUCUUGGUUCUGGCAUCGAUGAAGAACGCAGCGAAAUGCGAUAAGUAAUGUGAAUUGCAGAAUUCCGUGAAUCAUCGAAUCUUUGAACGCACAUUGCGCCCUUUGGUAUUCCGAAGGGCAUGCCUGUUCGAGCG